rnacentral:rRNA from 1 species
CGCGUAGGCGGACCAGAAAGUUGGGGGUGAAAUCCCGGGGCUCAACCCCGGAACUGCCUUCAAAACUCCUGGUCUUGAGUUCGAGAGAGGUGAGUGGAAUUCCGAGUGUAGAGGUGAAAUUCGUAGAUAUUCGGAGGAACACCAGUGGCGAAGGCGGCUCACUGGCUCGAUACUGACGCUGAGGUGCGAAAGCGUGGGGAGCAAACA